UCCACAUGUUCAUGCAUGAGUCCAUGUGUCCACAUGAUUCCAUGUGUAUCUGUGUAUGAGUCCAUGUGCACAUGUAUGAGACCAUUUGUAUACAUGUUUGAGCUUACACAUGUGUGUGUCCACAUGUGUGCUGGGCUAGCCCAUGUGUAUUUAUGUGUGAAUCCAUGUGUGAACAUGUGAGUCCAUGUAUGUGCACAGGCAAGUCCACAUGUGCGUGUGCAUCCACAUGUGCACAUAUGAACCCACACAUGCACGUGCCUGCCCCUUUGCCCAUGGCCUACACUGUGUCUCCUAUGUGUUGGAUGGUGAGUAGUUGUGUGUAUGCAUGCAUAUAUAUGUGGACUCACAUGUGAGCUGAACCCGUGUGUGUGUGUGUGUGUGUGUGUAAGUAUAUGUGUGUGAAGUGUGGAGAGAUGGGCUCUCAGUCCACUGAAUUCACAAUGCAGCUUUAUUCAGUUUCCCCGGGUGUGACACCUGACAGCCAUGUCCUGCUUUGUGAGCUCUCUUACCAUUUUCCCUCAGCCCCUGUGCCAUUUGGUCUGAGGUCAUUUGGAUGGCAUGAACAGAGGAACAGGAGGCAGGAAAAGUGAAUCAAGGGUUUGUGGUGGAGAUCAGGGAUGCAGUCUGUUGAAGCUCUGGCUGAGCAGAGGGAGUUGUUGGGCAGCACAGGCCAGCACAGGCACUGGGGACUCAGCCACAGAGCCACCCAAGCUGGCAGACAGAACUGGACCAAAGACAGCCAUCACAUUCCAAGCAGAAGGAACAGCAGCCACAGUGUCCUCACUGGGAGACAGCAUGCCCCAGGGGACUGUGGGCAGCUCCAGGACACAGUAAGUGGGAGAGCUGACAGCACUGGGCCAGGGGGACUUUGUCCUAAUGGCAAAGGGGGCGUGGUAUUGGAAGGUCUUAAGGAAAGCUAUGUCAUAACCAGGUGUGAAUACAAAGAGCCCAGCUGGAGACUGCAAUGAGGACCAGGGAAAGGUGGGGAACUGCUGCUAUCCAGCCCCAGGGAAAUAUACUUUCAUCAAACACACCCCACCCUACAUGGAGCCCCAUGCAUAAGGGGAAGGCUUGAUGGGAGCCAUCACAAGCCAUGGGACUAGUGUGCUGCAGUCCUCCUUAUCAGUGAGUCCCAUAGGGUAAGUUGCACACAGUCAGCUGUGGCCUGAAAAUACUACAAGGAAAAUUCCAGAAGCAAAGAGCUCAGAUCUAAGACCCCAGCAUCAAAUCAUCUUCCAAAAGCAUUGGGGGGACAUCUAGAUAUGAACCAUAACACUUUGGAUAAGGGGAAAAUUGGAGCUCUGCAGCAUCCUGACUUGG
rnacentral:lncRNA from 1 species